rnacentral:rRNA from 1 species
GAUGAACGCUGGCGGCGUGCCUAAUACAUGCAAGUCGAGCGAACGGACUAGAAGCUUGCUUCUCUGAUGUUAGCGGCGGACGGGUGAGUAACACGUGGAUAACCUACCUAUAAGACUGGGAUAACUUCGGGAAACCGUAGCUAAUACCGGAUAAUAUUUUGAACCGCAUGGUUCAAAAGUGAAAGACGGUCUUGCUGUCACUUAUAGAUGGAUCCGCGCUGCAUUAGCUAGUUGGUAAGGUAACGGCUUACCAAGGCAACGAUGCAUAGCCGACCUGAGAGGGUGAUCGGCCACACUGGAACUGAGACACGGUCCAGACUCCUACGGGAGGCAGCAGUAGGGAAUCUUCCGCAAUGGGCGAAAGCCUGACGGAGCAACACCGCGUGAGUGAUGAAGGUCUUCGGAUCGUAAAACUCUGUUAUUAGGGAAGAACAUAUGUGUAAGUAACUGUGCACAUCUUGACGGUACCUAAUCAGAAAGCCACGGCUAACUACGUG